CCUAAUUUGCACAUUUUGAGUUCUCUCUCAAGUUUAGAUAUAACUGUUAUAAUUUAAAGCUUGCUCUAGACCUAAACUUGUGGGAUGAAAAUUUGAUCUGAAGUCUAAGUUGUUAACGGAUACGAUAUGGGAAGGUUGAGCUGCUGUUUAUCUGUUCCUAGAGAUGCUAGAAUUCUGGAGAAUUUUAUCUUUGAAAAUCUUUAAAAUGUUGCAUGAUGAGUUCCUGUAUGAUGAGAGUUUAAAUUCCUACCACAGCCAUAUAUACAUGCUUGCUAGACUUUGAGCCACACAUUUACUAUUUACUGCUUAUGAGCAUUGAGUGUGGUCAAGCUGUGUAGACCCUUAGGAACUUGUCAUGUGGUUAAAUCAAGAUUCACUUGCACGUUCACUCAUAUAUGUUACUUCUACUCCGGAAGUACCAUCCACAUAUAUCCACCCAUUCCAUCUCCAGAAUCACCCAAAAAUAUUCUACUCCUAAUCCAGGAGAAAAUAACCAAAAAUAUUUUGUUUUUCCCUUGUGAAAUAAAUGCUCAAGUUAUCUUGUUACUACCACUUGCUAUAUUAUCUCAUGAGAUGAGUGCUUUCUAAAAAAAAAGAAAUACGAGGAAAUAAAAAGGAGCAAGUGCUCGGAACCUCGAAAGAAAAGAAAAAGUGAGACGAGAGGUAAAAAUGGACAAGUGUCCGACAGUAGAAUUAGGGUGCAAGAUACCCACCUGAGAGAAAAGAAAAAGAAGAGCAUCUCAUUCUCCUCAUAAAGUUUCAAAAAAAAACAAGGAAGGUAUGUAUCCCCUCAAAGAGCAAAGUAGAAUUAGACUUCCACCACCAUUGUUUUCACCAUUGUUAUCACCAUCAUCACCAUACAUCAUUCAUUCGCCACACAUGCACAUCUUGAUUAAACUCAUUGGCUUGUUUCUUUGGAUCCAUGGUUUGAAUAUGCAAUACAUGUCUUGUAAGUAUGUAUAUUUUAUCUCCCACCUAUGAGCUCUAGAUAUUAAAGCCUUAUUAGAGUAGGGUGAGAGAGAAGGCAAUGUCACUAUGCCUUACACCACAAAUACCACAUAUCUUGAGAGAAGGCAUAUACCAUCACUGCCUUGGUAAGGAUCCAGAAAUAUCACAAAAGAGAGAUCUGAGAGAAUCAUACAAGGAAUCUCUGAGUUUUAUUUGAAAAUAUGCAAAAACCCCAGAGCUAUAGCUGAUCAAGAAUAAGAGACAUGGCACUUGACUAGACUGUUCUAUCUUUUAACCACUCAAGACACAAGUGACAGUUACAAG
rnacentral:lncRNA from 1 species